UUGGUCUUUAUCCAAAUCAAAAUGUUGUGGCUUUCUUGUCUAAAUAGCAUGAUUCUUUUUACAUAUAAUGGUCUCUGACCGGCACUAAUUACGAGUCCUUUGGAUGAAGAUAGUAACAUAAAACUGGCAGUAUUUUUCAUGGAAGAAGAUUUAUGCAUCACUGCAUUUGGAUUCAACAAAAUUUCUCUGUAAUGCUUCCUCAGAUGUCAGUCAAUGGGAUUUUCUCAUAGCUUUUGAGCUUCUCCAGGGAAGGAACAUACUUAUUCAUGUUUGUGUCUCCACAAACACCUGGCAUGUUACAUGGCUCAUCCUUGGUGACCAGUAAAUAAUUGUUAAACUGAAUUACUGGAUUCUGCUUUGUCGUCCAAUAUGCCGGCGAUGUCAUCUGGGAAUACUGGCAAGAACAGUUCUUGAAGUUUGCAUCGGUAUGGACAGAGUAUGUAGCCAUCAACAUGGCAUGGAUUUGAGAGUGAAUAAAAAAAAGAAACGAAAAGAGAAGAUAAUCAUUUAGCGGCCUGACAAGUGUUCAUUGGGUCAGUCCUAAGAAGGAGCCAAAAG